UUUAAUAAUGUCACAAUGUAGAAUGUUUUAACUUUGUAGGAGUAUUUUAAUGAUGUUCUACCUUAUCGUUUACCCUGUUGUUGCAGAUGUUUGUGUAUAUACACACAUGAAAGCAGUAUAAUAAAUUGGUCUAUAAUCAAUUUUAUUAACAAUCUGACAUCACUCCAGUAUUUCUUGACAACAUUCAAAUUCUAAUUGUCUUUAUUCCCGUACUGGGCAGGCAAAAAUGUUUGCGUUUAGUCAGUGAGUUGCCAUGGAUCACAAUUUAUUUUGACUGCACAUUUUUCCAGUAUUGGAGAUUUAAUUUUGUUUGGGCUCGUUCCAAGGGGACGAGAGUUCUAGAAGCUAGUGAGUUUUAGGAUUCUAUAAAAAGAAAAAUGAGAAGAUACGAUUGUAUAUUAUUAUUUAGAAAUGCGUGUUUUCUUUUAAUUAUUGAUAGCCAGUAGACACUGUUUAUAUUGGAGAAGGUGAAGCAUUGUAGUUGAUUAUAAUGUAAAAUGGAAGUUUUCUGGUGGUGAGCAAACUUGUCCAACACAAAUAUAGGAUAUAUUUGUUGUCUUAAGGGGGAAGGUGAUACAGACUUUGUUUAUAGCUUGUUAGCACGUAGGACGCACAGAUUGGUGUCACCUCCUUAGUCAGUAUGUGUUACACCUGUGCUGGCUUGUCCUUCUCGUUAGUGGGAAGGUGUUUCACUGAGCUGGUCCAGGUUCUAUUAAAGAGUGUCUGGCCCAGUGCUCCAGUUGUCUGAUAGAUGUGGAGAGUCAACACCUUUUAGUUUCUCCACCUUUUUGACAGCAGAUGGCAAUAAGUGUCUUUCAGGCGAUGUCUCUCCUGUGACGUAUAGUCUAGUGGACGGAAAGCUUCUUCAACAACUGCGGCCACCUCGGUAGGUCGCCAGACAACAAAGUCGGAACAUUCAAGUUCUUUAGACAAUUUCGUGGUUUAUUUGCCACUAUGAUUUAAACAUACUUAUGUGGAAACAACUGGAUACCCCAUUUCAUUUAGUAUUUACGUUGUAAGUCAACUUGCUGGCUAGUUAAGUUAGUACUAGUCUAGUCGCUAAUGCUAACUAGCUAUUAUCUCCGACCAUGAGUUCACUAAGCUUCUCUCCUCCUGCUAAAGAAGAUGAGGUCUGUUUGGACGGAGAAAGAAGCUCUCGUCAAAGAGGAGGCGGAAGAGAAAGAUGUUACAAUACAAAAACAAGUAGAGGGUGAGGUUGUUACCGUGAAAGAAGAGGAAGACGCCUUCAGAGGAGGAGGAUGUUAGUGGAGUGGACUGGAGAUCUGAUUAACAUCAGUAAAUACAGAGAACAACAUCAUGAUGCUGACAAGGCAGAGAAGAGUCUCUCCCGAUCAGGACACCUCAAGAAACACCAGCAGAGACCCACAGGGAAGAAAUCUCACCACUGCUCUGAAUGUGGGAAGAGUUACUCAAGAUCAGAUUCACUUAAACUACAUAAGAGAAUACACCAGCGAGUACACACAGGAGAGAAACCUCACCACCGCUCUGAAUGUGGGAAGAGUUACUUAAAAUCAGAUUCACUUAAACUACACCUGAGAAUACACACUGGAGAGAAUCUUCACUUCUGCUCUGACUGUAGGAAGAGAUUCACCUCUUCAGUAGACCUUAAAAUACAUCAGAAAAUUCACACUGGAGAGAAAUCUUUUGGCUGUGAUCAAUGUGGGAAGAGUUUUACUAAGCCAAUCAACUUGACAUCACACCAGCGAAUACACACUGGAGAGAAACCUUAUGGCUGUGAUCAAUGUGACAAGAGAUACUCUGAUAAAAUAUAUCUAGUCAAACAUACAUGGAGUUGUUUCAUGAUAUCAAUGAAAUAUUUUCACAAUGUAGAAUGUUGUAACAUUGUAGUAAAAAAAAAAAAAAAAAGUCUGUUUUUUUUCGCGAUUACUUCAAAUCGACAGCAAGCAGCUGGGACAUAUGGUCAUAUUAUGAAACUGGGCUCCAUGGCGGAUGCAAUUAACUAGUUUUUUUAAAAUCAGAAAAUAACGUUAAAAAUAAAAACCAGAGUGCAGAAUAAUUACUUUACGAGCGCUCAACACCCGUUGAAUUUGGCCAGUGUCAGUAAAUGUAGGAAAAACCGCGUAAUUAAAUUGUUUCCAGCAGCACAUUUACAGUCACCAACGCUCUGGUUAACACAAACACUGCCUAAGCAGCUCUGCUAGGGCGAGUAAAAUGGUCAGAGUGGUCUCAUUUGUGUCUGGAAUUAGCUAUCCAGCGUGAUGGCCAUUGUAAGGCCAGAACGCUCAAAUCAACCCUACACCUCGGCCCGAACGUCCAGUGUGCGCUCCGAGAGCAAAACGGUCUGAAUUUACAAACUGACAAUGCUCUGAAUUUAUGAGCGUCACGUUGUACAGCGCUAUAUUUUCUGUUCUACACUAACGGAAAAACAGAGGAUGUUUCAUGGAGUAGAAACACCAUAAUAUUAAUUAAAAGCAAGUACCAGUCAAAAGUUUGUACACACCUACUCAUCCCAGGAUAUUUAUUUAUUUUCUACAUUGUAGAAAUAGUGAAGACAUCAGAACUAUGAAAUAACACUGGCCUCCCGCAUGCCCUGCAUUCUGUAUUACAGACAUUGCCUGCUCUCCCAUAUGUAAGGAAUUAGGCACUUUCCCAUGUUUACUACAGUAUGUAUUGUGGACGGCACAGUAUCCUAAUAAACAAAUAAACACAUUUCGUUAAAAUAAAGAUUUAAAAAAAUACUCGUUUAAAAUGCAGAUGUUGAUUUAGUUAUGGAUCCAUAACGAAUUACUAUGGGAAUAAAUAUCACUGAUUUACAGAAAUACUGGAACAAAGUUGUCUAAUGAAGGCAAACAAUUUAGAAUCCUCCAAUCCUGAAGCCUACUCCCGACAGCGCCGUAUUUUCCAUUCCAUCCUAACAGAAACCCUUAGGGUUUCGUUUUUCUUUUUUCUCUGAAUGGAAACACCAUAAUAUGAAUCAAAUUAAUUUGGCCAAAUUUCUUAAAAUCAAUCCCAUAUACUAUGUUAUUACAAGAAAGGUUUGAAAUUCUCUGGUAAUGCCAAUACGGGAUACUAUCAAAUGCUUCUCAAAUAUGCCCUCUGGUGGUCAAACAGUAACAGAAAGAAUGGCUGAGAAUUGAAUGACGUGCCACAGAAUGCUGGAGCAGCACGCAAGGUGUACCGCAGUAUGACACCUUUGAAAGGAAGAACCACAUAUCAGGAUGUUUCAUCAUAGACGUAUGUAUACAUUCUACUAUUGGUUUUCGUCUCACCCCCCUUUUAAGAUUUAGAUGCACUAUUGUAAAGUGACUGUUCCACUGGAUGUCAUAAGGUGAAUGCACCAAUUUGUAAGUCCCUCUGGAUAAGAGCGUCUGCUAAAUGACUUAAAUGUAAAUGUAAAUGUAGUAGGAGUAUUCUAAUGAUGUCACAAUGUAGAAUGUUGUAUCAUUGAAGUAGGAGUAUUCUAAUGAUGUCACAAUGUAGAAUGUUGUAACAUUGUAGUAGGAGUAUUCUAAUGAUGUCACAAUGUAGAAUGUUGUAACAUUGUAGUAGGAGUAUUCUAAUGAUGUCACAAUGUAGAAUGUUGUAGUAGGAGUAUUCUAAUGAUGUCACAAUGUAGAAUGUUGUAACAUUGUAGUAGGAGUAUUUGAAUGAAUUUCAUAAUGUAGAACCCUAAACGUUUGCCCCCUGUUCAAUUUGAUGAAUUGAUUUCUGCAUGAUAUGGAUAUUAGCCUCUGGGGAAGAAUCCAGGCUCUGAAUUGAAUGAGUUCUAUUUAUGUGAUUUAACAAAAAGAUCAGGUGUGAUGUUAAUGUUUGUAUGUUUUGUAUUGUUUAUAAAAUAUAUAUUUUCAGGUCUUUUUUCAUAACUUAAUUUCAACGUACUUGCAGCUUAUACACCUAUAAUCAAUGUUAUUAACAAUCUGACAUCACUCCAGUAUUUAUUGACAACAUUCAAGUGCUAAUUGUCUUUGUUCCACUACUGAAGAAGCAUGACUCAAAUCACCUCAUAUUUCAAACAUUCAGCCUGACAAAUAUAUGUUUUAUUAUUCCAUGCCUCACCAAUCACAUUUGCUUUUGAUAUUUUUUCCAAUUCAUGUAACAUUUAGUUUUUGGGGGGUUUCUUGAUGGAGAACAUAACAACAAACAAUGGAGUAAAACAAGUUUAUAAUUUGUAUUGGAUGUUGCAUCCAAUUGUUAAUAUUUGAAUCAAUGACAUUUCCUUAAAAUGCUCAGUCUUUCAGUUAAGUUUCUGUUUGUUGUGUACUAAAUAUUUCAGUUUGUUUUAGUAAUAUUAUAUAAAACUCAAAGUAAUGGAUAUGGAGCAUUUAUGACCUCAGUUACACCUGGCACCUAAAUGUGAUUUCUGUCAUCCGAUCGCUCCAUUAGGUUCAGAUCUAACAGGAUGGGCCUUUGACGCAGUCAAGCCACCAAAUAUGCAUAAGCAAUAUAAAGAGAUGUGGGGAAAAGUAAAUUCUACAUAAAUUACCUUCAUAAUAUCAAAGAACAAAUGUUUGUGUCUGAGGGGAAAUUAACUUUCAUACAGCCAAAAGGGGUGAGAAAUUACACCAAUUUCAGUGGACAAUUUGUACUAAUGUAAAUAAACA